AGGGCUUGACAUCCUACUAACGAAGCAGAGAUGCAUUAGGUGCCCUUCGGGGAAAGUAGAGACAGGUGGUGCAUGGUUGUCGUCAGCUCGUGUCGUGAGAUGUUGGGUUAAGUCCCGCAACGAGCGCAACCCUUAUUGUUAGUUGCUACGCAAGAGCACUCUAGCGAGACUGCCGUUGACAAAACGGAGGAAGGUGGGGACGACGUCAAAUCAUCAUGCCCCUUACGUCCUGGGCCACACACGUAAUACAAUGGUGGACAUACAGAGGGAUGCAAAGCCGCGAGGUGGAGCGAACCCCUAAAAGCCAUCUCAGUUCGGAUUGCAGGCUGCAACCCGCCUGCAUGAAGUUGGAAUUGCUAGUAAUCGCGGAUCAGCAUGCCGCGGUGAAUACGUUCCCGGGCC
rnacentral:rRNA from 1 species